CGCAGAACACAUCAUAGAGGUGCUCUACGAGUUGGUGGAGACGUGAUACAUGUGGCACGCGCGCGUGUGCGUGUGGGUUUCGAACGCUGACGACUCUUCACGUGCACGUCCCCCUCCGUGUCUUUCUGCAUCGCGCGCCCUCUCCUCAUAUCCAGGUGGCACCACUACCAACCACACCACGUGUGCUCUCGUAAAGGACGCCAUUUUGAACGACCAUGCCACAUCAGCGCGGCGAGGAGGAUAACAGCUUCGCCUGUGCGUGCCCCAACGGUGUGCGCAGUACACCUGCUGGCGGCGCUGACGACCACCGCACCGAGGCAGCGCUGCGACUUGUGCGCGAUGUUCUCCUGACGGAGGACUGGUUUGUAGAGCGGCCCCCGCUCGCUCUCGCCUUCGCGCAUCCGUACAUACGACUGUGGUGCGAGAUGUGGCGCACCGAAUACGUCGGCGACCUUCACGCACCGGCCGCGCACGAGUCGCCUGUGGCGGAGCCGCCGCACAAAACUCGCCGCCCCGCAGCACCGCCUGCCUCGUAUGUGCGCAUUGGGCUGCGCCGCCUCCGCAAUCCGAUUGCCUUCGCAAACCCCGCCUCGGCGGGCGUUGCCGACAUCCUCAGCGGCGGCGUUCCUCUGACGUCGUCGUCUGCGGUGCUUUCAAGCUCACCGAACGCUACGGCAGCGCAGCGGACAGUGCGGUCGCUGGUGGCUCCAGUUCUGACGUAUCCCGAGCCGGCCGACGUGAUGGAGUCAGAGCCCCUCUACGACGCAGCUGCCGUGCGCGGCAUCCCAGUCGUGGACCCAACGGCACCCCUGUUCGCCCUAGAGGCGUACACAGAGCACGUGUUCCGCAUGCCAAUUGGGAUGAGGCUCGGCCAUGUGCGGCUGCUUACCCUGUGGCUGCCGUGCCACUGCCCCUCUCACGCUACUCCAGUGAACCAGCGUGCGCGCCUGGUGAGGGGGCUGUUCAGUCACGUGCCGGCAUCAGUGACGCACGACGCUGCUAUGAAAGCGACUGCUUGCAUCCACACAGCGGAAGCCCAGCAGGCGGUGCGCCACGAACCACAACCGAUGGCGGCACCCGCAGUUUCGUCGCAGCAUGUGAAGGGUUCCUCCGGCGGUGCCACUACUCUCAAUAUUGACGCUGACGCUGGCGCCGCCAAGGCGGACGACAGCGACUCGUCGGCGGAGCAGGGCAGCGCUCACAUGGAGGAAGUGGUAGAAGAUGACGACUGGGAGGCGAUGGCGCUGGAAGAGGAGGCGCUGCUGGAGAAGGAGCCUCUGUCCGUGUCUACAGCAGCGGCGACGGUAGCACCACGCAUGAGUGACUCUCCGGGCCUUCAAGAGGCCCCUCAAGCCCGCACCUGCUUCUCUCUCUUCCCUACUCACCACCCAUCGCUGCCCGCUGCAGCCACCAGCCCCGCCAUCACUGCCUCUAGCGACACCAGCGUUGUUGCCGCUGCACCAGAGCCAUUUGGCGGUGCUUCCGCUGUCAUCGAGGGCGUGUGCGUUGCCCUCCCUCCUCCUUGUGGUUGGUGGCUGCGUCGCGGUGUGCGGCCGUCGUCCGCGUUGCACGGCGCUCCCUUGCCUCUCUACGCCCACUGUAUAGACGCGACGCGGCCGUGGCUGGACUGGCUCGAGGCGACGGCGCGUGGCACCAGCGACGCGCUGCCCGACAAAGACGGCCGCAGCGCCACGCAGACGUUUCUUUGCGGGGUGUCGCUCAGCGGAUGGUUGCCCAAGUAUGUGCAGCCAACCAUCGUCUCACGAGCGGAACUCGCGCAGCGCAGCGUCUCGGUGAAGCUGGAGGACGCCAUCUCCUCCACUCUGCCCUUGCGCGGUCUCCACAUCGAGUCUUCUGUUAGGGCGCUGAAGCGGCUGCUGGGUGGCAGGAGCGGCGAGCGUGGCGACCCUGGUGGCGGCGCGGCACUUCUCGGCACCCUUGUCGCUCUUGACGCGCCGUACCUGCGGGACGCUGAGCCGGAUUUGCUCGCAGGCCGCGAUCGACUGACCGCGAGCGAUGACGGCGAUGCCGGCAGCCUCGCGUCUGCCCUGUGCCGGCUGCGUCGACUGCGCUUCCUGUCCAUGAAUCACGGCCGCGACGUUUUGGCGGAGGCGUUCUCGCCGUCGCCAGCGCAAACAGCCGUCUUCAGCACGUGUGUCGAGGCGCUGCUCCUUCACGGCGUCACUGGCCUCGCUCCGCGCACGCUGGCCUCGGUGGGGCGCUGCUGCGUGUCGUUGCGCACUGUAGAUCUGACCAGCACCAGUGUCACAGAUGAUGAGCUGCGCGCUCUCGUGUACGGUAGGUGGGACACACCGUGCAAAGGCAGCAAGCCAGCGGCUUGCCUAGCGAAGUUGUCUCCACUCGCUUGCCUGGAGGAGGUACGACUGACUGCCUGUCGCAGCCUCACUUGCGUCGAUGCCCUCGCUGCACUCCCACAGUUGCGUCGCCUGGACCUGCGCGCCAGCGGUGUGCGCCAAGUCGCCGACCUUGCAGGGUGCCACCUGCUGGAGGAGGUGGUACUGACACGCUGCGAGCACGUGACGGAGCUGUACCCUCUCUGGCGACUCCCCCGGCUGCGCUGUGUGGAGGCGGACGGCGUCCGCCAACUACAGCAGUAUCGAGCACUCAUGCCGCCCGCCGCCUCUACUGCGGAAGAGGAUGAGGGGGGCGACGAGUGCUUCGUGGCCCCUUUGGCGCGGCUGAACCUGUCUCAGGCCGCCGUGAUUCGCGGGGCCAGCGUUGGCUACCUCGCGCGGCGUCUUCGCGACUUGAGCGGGCAUUUCACGUCGCUGGUGGCGCUGCUCCUUGAUCAUACCGACGCCGACGAUGACACGCUGCGCGCCUUGGCCGGGUUCUCAACGGCGGAGGCGGAGAGCGGCCACUUCGCAGGACGGUGGCUGCCUGUCGCCUCGUCACUGAGGGAGCUCAGUCUCGUCGGCUGCGUUCGCGUGCACCACCUCGGCCCUCUCGGCAUGCUGCCGCAGCUCACCCGCCUGGUGGCCGACCAUUCCGGUGUCGAGCACGUGGACGGCCUUCAGCACAGCCGCAGCCUCGACUCUCUCUAUUUGAGCCACUGCACACGACUGUGGGUCAUCAGCCCCCUCGCCUACGUGACCUCACUGCGAUGCGUGGAUUUGAGCCACACACCGCUCACUGAUGCAGCGUUGCUGCGCUUCGUAUACCCGACUGUGGUGGAGAAGCUGACGGCGCGGCGGCAUCCGCACCUUGGCGAGAUCGUGGUGUCGCUGCAAGCCUGCACCGCCACUCCUGCCCCUCUCGUCCCCUCACAGGUCGAGGAGCUACGUCUCUGUCACUGCAUGUCGCUGCUGCACAUCAGCUGCGUCGCGCACCUUCCACGACUGCGUAGGCUUGACGUGGGCAACACAGCACUGUUUGAUCGUGGAUUCGCGGGCUUCUUUGGCCGCACGAAGGCUCUCCUGUGCACGCAGUCGUGGCCGACUGCCCACCCGGCUGGUGCCGCCGUCGAUGACGACGAGGCGCUGAGAUUGGCGCCACUGCCGGACGAGGCUGCGCUUCUCACCGCUUGGAGAAGGGAUACCCAAACGGGAGCGGCGGUGCCGCGAGACGCGAGUUCCACCUCCCGUGAGACCUCCGCGGACCGCGCUGCUGUCACCGCUGGAGGGCCGCCGCACUCUGUCGAGUUCGACUUCUCCGUCGGCGCCCUGAAUACCCUCACGCAUGUGUGUCUCUCCUACUGCGUGGAGGUGCGUUGCAUUGCCGCCUUCGCCCUCUUCCCUCAACUGGUGUCACUCGACGUCACCGGGACGGCCGUCGACAGCGCCUCCCUCCUGGCCUUUGUGAACGUGCUGCUGGAGGGCUGCGGGAGCGGGGCUUCCGACGUUCCGGUGAUGCGGCUCGAGAUGGAGGGCGACAGCCUGCGCCCGAGGGCGCUUCCGGCACCGCGAACAAGAUCAGUGCCUGCCGUAUCGCUCUCUACGCGGGGCAGCGACGCCGAUGGUGCGGCUGUGGAGCCGUCCCUUCGACGCCGCCGACUAUUUGCGCUCACGACGCUCACGCUGGCGUGGUGCCACUACCUCACGGACGUGCGGUGCUGCGCGGCCGUGCCGUCUCUGCGCCACCUGGACGUGUGCGGAACUCCCGUCGACAAUCUCAGUGUUGCAGCCUUCUCUUCUCGUGUGGCGGACGCAUUGGCAUCGGCGGCGUCGGGGGAGGAGGCGCAGUGGUGGACGCACCAUCGCUGCUCGCUCCUGUCACUGGAUGUUAGCUGUUGCCGCCGUGUCACCGACAUUGCGCCGCUCUUCGCGGCGCCAGUCAACUCAUUGCCUGGCAGCGGCGUCAGCAGCAGGAGGCGAGAGUCUUCGGGCCACUGCCCUCCGCUCUCCUUGAUGGAGCUGCGACUUCGCCACUCCGGUGUGACGUCCACCAAGGAGGAGCUGCGCGCGCUUGACCCCUUCGGCCGCUGCCUGUUUAUGCUGUAAUGUGGGGCGUGUCUGUGUGUGUGCGCGCGCCUGUGCGUGCGUCUCGAUGCCUCUCCCCUCAUGAGAGCCUGCGGGUGUGUCUACGCCGCACCUCUCCCGCCUUCUCCGUUUUUUCUCUGUGACGAUGACGCUCACCCGAGCUCUGCGUCACUCCCUCGCUCACUCGCGUGCUGGGACGUGCGCGCAUCUGCGGCAGUGGUGGCGAUGGGUGCCGCACUGCCCUCACCUCACCACACUGUUCUUUCCGCGUCCCUCACGUGGCACUCAGAGUCAACGCAACGCCGCGCCAACCGUGAGCCUCAGUAAUGCCGUCUCUCCUCCCUCACUAUCCCGCCUGCACUGCCGCACUCUCCUCCACUUGUGGACCAUCUCGCAG
rnacentral:misc_RNA from 1 species